GGGUUCUGACAGUCUCCAACUUCUAUUUGGUGUUCAAUCGUUUUUUGGACGUAUAUUGACUUCUAUUUAAUUUUUAAGCCUGUGUUAAAUCAUUUCUUGGACAUAUAUAUGCUUCUGUUUGAUUGCAGUAUCAUGCAUUGAUCUAAGAAAAUGAUAGAAUUGAAUAAUUGUAAUAUGGUAGAUCUCUUACCAUUCGCAUUAGGUAUUUUAUAUAUUAGUAAUCAUCAGUAUAUCAAAUAACUUUGUUGUGUUCCAUAACUUAUGUAGCUUUAUGUAAAGAAAUGGUAAAAAUACUUUCACCAUUAUGGGAUUCUUUUUGUAUGUUGAUCAGCCAAGGGACCUUCUACAACCGUAAAUGUGAAACUGAGUCACAAAAUCUUGGCAGUAGCCCAAUUAUUAAUUUAGAAUUUAGCUUCCCUAGGCUUAUUUAGCAAAAAUGAUACUUUCUGAAAUGCAUCAAAUAAUAAAGAGGACAACAGUUCUUUGAAAAUCAAAUUCAUCGUGUGGUCACAUAUUCUACGUAUGCAAUUAUCAAAUAAAGAUAAAUGCCGAAGUUAGUGUUCCGAUAUUUUGUAGGUUAAAGCAGUGAGAGAGGCUAUGACUUUGAUGGUGGAAGCUUGGAGAGAGAUUCCAGAUGCACUUGAUGAGGUUUCGCCGCUUUCUGAUUCUCAAUCUUCUUCAAAAGGCAAAUGAAGAUAAGCAACAGUUCAUUGCUGUACAUCCAGUUGCACCGAGAAUUGACCCAAUAAUUCCAGACGCAUCUUCCUAUCAGAACACAUAUUGCAAGCUCCCUGUUGUAGACGUUUAUAUUCAAAGUUUUGGAGGAGAACAGAAGAUAACAUUUCAGUGUCAAUAGAGGUUAUUAGGUCAAUAGCCGUGGAAGAGGACCUAACAUAAGCUCACUUUUGAAAAAAGGUAUAUCAACAUCUGAUAUAAUACAUUGUAUUUUAUAACAUUCAUAAAGUGUGAUUUACAGAGUUAUAUAACACUAAUUAAAUAUCAGAUAUGACACGUUUGUCCGAAUCAACUCCAGCGUAUCAACAGCCUGCAUCCUCAUAUACAUUGUCUGAGAAUAGCCAUAUUGGUGCGUGUAUAUGUAUCAAACUUAUGACAUGUCCUGUAAUGUAUAUCCACAAGCAUAUAUAUGUGAAAACCUUUUCGUGUUGAUUUUUCAGAUGCCCUCACAUAGACUGUUUAAUUAAUAUUUCAUAUCACUUGCCUGAUACUUAAAAUCUUCAUUGUUUACCGUAUCCCUGUGGGUUCUGAUAUUUUUUAUAUCAGUGGUAUAUAAAAAGGACCAUCUGGACAGCAUGAGGACUUAUCAUUAAUUUAAUAGUGUAAGCGUUUUUCUCCGAUGUGUAGCCAUCACUGGAAAGCAGAGGUAUGCAUUUUCAAUUGUAUCAUCUGAAUUAUGUGCAUCUGAAAUAGGUGCAUCUUCAUGUAUAUCAUCUGAAAUAGGUGCAUCUGGUGCAUCUGGGGCUAAGAAUCUGCUCGGAGAAUUUAACGAGGCUGAUGCAGAGGAAGGUACAUACAUCUCAUAAUUUUUUGACCUGUCACCGUGAUUCCAUGUGUUCUAUGCUUUUGUUCAAGUUGGAUGAUCCACAAAUUACUGUUUGUUGUCUCUUGAACAGGUAUCUUGCACAGGAUCGACAAAAGUAGGGAGUAUAGUAACGCAGGCCGCAGCCAUGAAAAUUUUUAUUGUGCCAAGAAACAGAAGAUUUCCACGCUUUCAAUUGCCACAGUUUGCGUUGCAGAGACCACAUAUAAUGACAGUUGUCGACUGUUUUAUGAAACAAUAGCGUUCCAAAAGAAGCAGCUUAUGAUGUACUAAAGGAAGCAUUACAAAUGAGAGUUUUCAAUUUGGCACGCUCAUAAAUCUUCUUUAUGACGGGGAUGACAGAUACACACAUUUCUGAGCUCAGACAAAAGAUAUGAUCACUUCCAUACCGUUGGACCCUUAUCCUGUAUAAUGCUUAACCGCUUUCGCGGUGUCCCUGAACUUCUCAAUUUAUUGUUUCACCCGGUGGAAAUAAUGUGAAAUUGAGUUCUUCGACAAUGCACAUGUAUACUGCGUUGCUGAAACAAAUGGCUCAUAAACAUCUGUUAGCUACAUUUGUAAAAGUAUGUGCAAGAAAUCUUUAUGCAACAACACAUGGAAUGCUCAAAUUGGAUGAUUAUGCAAAGUUGUCAAUUCUGCAGCAACACAUGAUAUAGAGACAGAGUCGUGCAUCAUUCUUAUGAUUCAGGAUGCUGGCCGGACCAUCCUGCUAUUUUAAGAUAAAUAGGUUUGAUCUCAGCCAAUAUUGUCACUUUCAGGGUUGAGGGUUUGACUAUUCCUCGAGAUAAUUAUCCAAAACCUUGGACCACAGACCUGAACCGAGGAGCAGAAUCCUCGGAGAUUGAUUUGCAUGGAGGUUCUGAAAGCCUUACCUGGAGGAGGAUUGCGAACAUAUAUGUCACAAUUUUGGAAAACUGCUGCAGCAUCACCGAAUAUAAAAUCAACGCUUCCAUAGAUUUCACAACUUUUGUAAAAUUGAGUGCCGUAUCCAACAAAAAGUGUGUCCUCGAACCCCUCAAAUCUACACUGAUAAAACGCAGAAAGGUGGGAAGUGCUUCUCAACGCCAUGGCUUGCUCAUUGCUUGAUCCAGCUGAAUUUAUAAAGGUUAUACCUAUUGCUAUCAAUCUCCCCUAAUAUAUCUGCAGACUAUUUUAUAUGAUUCAUUGUUAAACAAUUAGGAGGAAAGGAAUGGUACAAUUCACUGUGGUAGUAGCUAAUAUAGCUUUUUUUUUUAUAUUAGUAGCUGAUAUCAGUGAAUAAAGACUAAUAAACUUUAUAUUCUUUACUGGUAUUGGCAGCCACUGCUGCUAUCGAGUACAUAUCUUCUAAGUUGAGUAGCAAAAGCUACUUCUAAUCGUACGUGACUAAUUUUAGCCCUAUCUAGGAUUUGAGAGGCAAGGUACUAAUCAAGGGUUACGUUGACUCCUUCACAAAGGAGGUUACGAGGUGUCAAAUUAUCAGGUUGUGCUAUAUCACCUCUGCUGACAGCAAUCAAUACCACAUGUUAUGCUUACUAAAACAACAUAUUAGAUAUGUCAUGAAUAUGUUAUUUAUAUUAUUCGAUUAUAGAUGUAGGCACUUCCAUGAGCUCAAUCCCAGUGCAGAACAAUUCUACCUGCAGGUAGUGGUGCUAAAAACUUUGGAGUCCUUUGAUGCUGCACACAAUAAUCCUUUGUCCAAAAAAGAUCAGGAAGGCAUGUUAUACCCUUCACGUCUAUUUAAUUUAUUUUACUUAGAUGCAUUUUAUAACUUACGGUACACAUAUCAUGCAAGGGUUCGCUAAAAGCCUUUCUAUUGCGGUCAUACAGAAGCCACAGAGCCCAAGAAGAUUUCGAUUAACAGCUAAGCCGAUCAUCUCAACUUCUGUUUGAAGCUGAAUCUUACCUCCAACAACAUUUCCGUCUUUUAACCUUUUUACAGCUACAAUUUAUCCGUCUUUCAGGUGCCCUUUGUAGACUAUUCCGAAAGCACCUUUAACAAUAUUGUUCUUGCUGCUAAAGUUGUGGGUGGCAACCUGAAGUUCUCUAAACUGAAACCUUCUCAGGUCUCCAAUUGAUACUUCUUGGCAAUAUUGUUUUGAAAUUUCAAACAGACGAUAGUUCUAUAAAAGAAUUAUACUUCAAAA